CAUGACGGGACCGCAGAGACUCCGGGUAAACUUAAACAGUCAAUUCCCUUCCCCCUUCGUGCGGACCGAUCAGUCGCUAGCACGGAAAGGUUGGUAUGUCGGAAGGUGUGGAGUGCGCUUCUUGAUCUUCAUCACUGCUGGUUUUGUUUACAUUUCCACACGACAACGAGAGCAGCCGCAGUUUAUUCAUCCGAUUAUUGGACCAGGUAAGCACAUUUCCUUAUCAUAAUGUUAGUUUUUUACAGUUUAAUGACAGAGGUUACCUAUAUGAACAAGUAAAAAGGUCGAGUGUAGCCCUCAUUGCUUAGAGUAGAUGAUGCCAGCCUGCACAUGGACGAGACCCUCACAAAGAUUAUUGUCCUUCCAUUAUGUGCCCAAGUAAGCACAUUUCCCUGUCAUAGUGUUAGUUUUUAGCUGUUUAAUGACAGGGUUGACCUAUGUGAACAAGUAAUAAGGUUGCGUGUGGCCCUCAAAACACACAUGGAUGAGGCCCAGACUAAGGCUAUUUUCAUCCCAUUAUUGGAGCAGAGAACGUAGGAUUUCUAGAAAUGGAAGGAGCACUGAGUGCCAGAAGCAGUCCAAUGUCACCUCCUGAGCGAGACCUUCUCAUGGGCCUCAUCUGUGAGGAGAAGAUCCUCCAAGACAGGAGGACAGACGGGAAGGUUGUCCUCCAGAAGAGGGCAGCGUGGGCCCGAAUCACGCGCCUGUUUAAUUCCCACAACCUUGGACCGCAGCGCACUGAGCAGCAACUCAAGAAAGUUUGGGAGCGUUUAAAAGUAAAGGCAAAACAAGAACAUGCAGUGAAGAGGCGGGAGGACAUGAGAACUGGUGGAGGUGCCCCUCCUGCGGAUCUGCCAAAAGAAUCGGACCAAGUGCUGACGAUACUUGGCACGGAUUUGCACGACAUAGGAAAUCCGU